AACGCUGGCGGCAGGCCUAACACAUGCAAGUCGAGCGGUAGCAGAGAGCUUGCUCUCGGGUGACGAGCGGCGGACGGGUGAGUAAUGUCUGGGAAACUCCUGAUGGAGGGGAUAACUACUGGAAACGGUAGCUAAUACCGCAUAACGUCGCAAGACCAAAGUGGGGGACCUUCGGGCCCAUGCCAUCAGAUGUGCCCAGAUGGGAUUAGCUGGUAGGUGGGGUAACGGCUCACCUAGGCGACGAUCCCUAGCUGGUCUGAGAGUGACCAGCCACACUGGAACUGAGACACGGUCCAGACUCCUACGGGAGGCAGCAGUGGGGAAUAUUGCACAAUGGGCGCAAGCCUGAGCAGCCAUGCCGCGUGUGUGAAGAAGGCCUUCGGGUUGUAAAGCACUUUCAGCGGGGAGGAAGGCGAUGAGGUUAAUAACCUCAUCGAUUGACGUUACCCGCAGAAGAAGCACCGGCUAACUCCGUGCCAGCAGCCGCGGUAAUACGGAGGGUGCAAGCGUUAAUCGGAAUUACUGGGCGUAAAGCGCACGCAGGCGGUCUGAAGUCGGAUGUGAAAUCCCCGGGCUCAACCUGGGAACUGCAUUCGAAACUGGCAGGCUAGAGUCUUGUAGAGGGGGGGAAUUCCAGGUGUAGCGGUGAAAUGCGUA
rnacentral:rRNA from 1 species